CAGUAGCCGCGGUAAUACGAAGGGUGCAAGCGUUAAUCGGAAUUACUGGGCGUAAAGCGUGCGUAGGCGGUGAGUUAAGUCUGCUGUGAAAUCCCCCGGCUCAACCUGGGAAUGGCAGUGGAUACUGGCUCGCUAGAGUGUGUCAGAGGAUGGUGGAAUUCCCGGUGUAGCGGUGAAAUGCGUAGAGAUCGGGAGGAACAUCAGUGGCGAAGGCGGCCAUCUGGGACAACACUGACACUGAGGCACGAAAGCGUGGGGAGCAAACAGGAUUAGAUACCCCUGUAGUCCCUGUCUCUUAUAC
rnacentral:rRNA from 1 species